UGUACUCCUGUUCUGAACCCUGCUGAAGACCCACUAGUCAGCAAAGGCUUUUUCAUUAUAGCUGAGACUCCUACACCACUCACAGUGGUGACAUCAUGGAUUACCUCACCAUGAGAACAUGUUCACCGGGGACGUGGCCUACAUGCCGACACUGGACUCUGUCCCGGGUCGCCCUGGAUGGAUGCAGCUUGUCGCAUCUCAAUCCCUCCUGCAGGAAGCUUCACCGCGCAGCGGGCGUAAAUCAGAUGGAUCGACAGAGAGGUGAGCUUCUAACCUUGAUGCAUAAAGUUUUCGUCGAGUCGUAUCUCUUGAGUUGCUGUGAAGAAAUACGCUCUGUGAGGUGAAGGCAACGAGGCCGGCCACACAAGAACAGGUCCAGCUGUGAGAGGAGGCGGAGGGUUGAUGUUAGCUGUGAAAGGACCGACUCCUGCACAUGUGGAAUGAACUCGGGAACAUGCUCCU